rnacentral:rRNA from 1 species
UUGAAGUGGUUGUGAAGAUGCAAUCUACCCGCUGCUAGACGGAAAGACCCCGUGAACCUUUACUGUAGCUUUGCAUUGGACUUUGAAGUCACUUGUGUAGGAUAGGUGGGAGGCUUGGAAGCAGAGACGCCAGUCUCUGUGGAGUCGUCCUUGAAAUACCACCCUGGUGUCUUUGAGGUUCUAACCCAGACCCGUCAUCCGGGUCGGGGACCGUGCAUGGUAGGCAGUUUGACUGGGGCGGUCUCCUCCCAAAGCGUAACGGAGGAGUUCGAAGGUUACCUAGGUCCGGUCGGAAAUCGGACUGAUAGUGCAAUGGCAAAAGGUAGCUUAACUGCGAGACCGACAAGUCGGGCAGGUGCGAAAGCAGGACAUAGUGAUCCGGUGGUUCUGUAUGGAAGGGCCAUCGCUCAACGGAUAAAAGGUACUCCGGGGAUAACAGGCUGAUUCCGCCCAAGAGUUCAUAUCGACGGCGGAGUUUGGCACCUCGAUGUCGGCUCAUCACAUCCUGGGGCUGUAGUCGGUCCCAAGGGUAUGGCUGUUCGCCAUUUAAAGUGGUACGUGAGCUGGGUUUAAAACGUCGUGAGACAGUUUGGUCUCUAUCUGCAGUGGG